CCUACGGGAGGCAGCAGUGGGGAAUUUUGGACAAUGGGCGCAAGCCUGAUCCAGCAAUGCCGCGUGAGUGAAGAAGGCCUUCGGGUUGUAAAGCUCUUUUGUCAGGGAAGAAACGGUGGUUCCUAAUACGAGCCACUAAUGACGGUACCUGAAGAAUAAGCACCGGCUAACUACGUGCCAGCAGCCGCGGUAAUACGUAGGGUGCAAGCGUUAAUCGGAAUUACUGGGCGUAAAGCGUGCGCAGGCGGUUUGGUAAGAAAGAUGUGAAAUCCCCGGGCUCAACCUGGGAAUUGCAUUUUUGACUGCCCGGCUAGAGUGUGUCAGAGGGGGGUAGAAUUCCACGUGUAGCAGUGAAAUGCGUAGAUAUGUGGAGGAAUACCGAUGGCGAAGGCAGCCCCCUGGGAUAACACUGACGCUCAUGCACGAAAGCGUGGGGAGCAAACAGGAUUAGAUACCCUGGUAGUCCACGCCCUAAACGAUGUCUACUAGUUGUCGGGUCUUAAUUGACUUGGUAACGCAGCUAACGCGUGAAGUAGACCGCCUGGGGAGUACGGUCGCAAGNUUAAAACUCAAAUGAAUUGACGG
rnacentral:rRNA from 1 species